rnacentral:lncRNA from 1 species
CAGGGAUUGAAGCUGAUGAGGUCUGGGUUGCCUGUCUCUCCCUGCGCACGCCUUCUUCCAACUCGCAGACCGAUUUCCUUCUUUGUGGGAGCUUCAUUUUCGGAGCCAUUUGCACUGAUGAGACUAUCACAGAGCUUGGGAGAGCAAAUGUGAGGAUGAGAUGAAGAGUUUCUAGUGGAAGGAUAGGGAUUUUUGGAGGAGUGAUACUCCGAUUUGGAAGAGAAGGGUAGAAUCUAGGGCACACUCAAUUCGCUCCAAACAAGGGUGG